AUACGGAGGGUGCAAGCGUUAUUCGGAAUCACUGGGCGUAAAGCGCGCGUAGGUGGAUCAAUUAGUUGAGGGUGAAAUCCCGGGGCUCAACCUCGGAACUGCCUUCAAUACUGUUGAUCUUGAGACCGAGAGAGGUGAGUGGAAUUCCUAGUGUAGAGGUGAAAUUCGUAGAUAUUAGGAAGAACACCAGUGGCGAAGGCGGCUCACUGGCUCGGUACUGACGCUGAGGUGCGAAAGCGUGGGGAGCAAACAGGAUUAGAAACCCGAGUAGUCC
rnacentral:rRNA from 1 species